UAUUGAAACUGUUAUGUAGAGAUGGG
rnacentral:piRNA from 1 species